UACCGGGAAUUAGGAAGGUACAAAUUGUGACGUUUGGUGCGUAAUUCGGUGCUGGUAGCUAGCGAUUGGGAGGGGGUGGGGAGCGCGAUGUUUUUUUGGCGACGGUUCGUGCGGGCGUCGGGGCGUGCUGGAGAGCGGGGGAGGGAGGAGGAGGGCGCGGCAAGCGGCGGAGGGCGUCGGCAAUCGGCUGCGCCCUCGGCGCGGCGGCCUCGGCGGCGGGGGAAGGCAGCGCCCUCGGCGGCCUCGUCGGCGGGGGGAGCGGCGCCCUCGGCGCGGCGGCCUCGGCGGCGGGGAAGCGACGCCCUCGGCGGCGGGGGAAGCGGCGCCCUCGGCGGCGGGGGAAGGCGACGGCCUCGGCGGCGGGGAAGCGGUGCCCUCGGCGGGCAGCGGGAAGCUGUGGGCUCAGCGAGUCGAACCGGAGACGGGGCGGCGGGGGCCAGGAGAAGACGAAGUUGAAGUUGUUACAUCGUUUUGAAGUGGCGUUUUACCCGGUGAGGGAGGACUACGAGAGUACCACGGUACGGUUUGAGAAAAGUACGACUUCCCGAAGAGUCCAGGUUUUUUAUGAGAGUAUUAACGAAAUUGUAAAUAGAGGAACUCGAUAUUGUUGUCAAGGUGCUGUUCCAACGAACGUUAUAAAAUCUUUUGACAUAAUAUAAGACCUGUAAAAUAUAAUGUACUGUUACUUAAACCGAACUUUACGAGGACUACUCCGAAUUUUCAAGAACUUCACACAAUUCUGGGUGAUAGUAUAAGUCUAAAUAAGUGGUAAUUUAAAGAUAUUUCCCUGAACGGUUAGGGAAAGUGGGUAUGGUUUUUCACACAAAGGUCUCUCGUACUAUCCACUUUACGUAAAAAGAAGAAUUUAAAAUUGGAAACCCGUCCCUACGAAACAUUUUGUGCCGUACCACUACUUUUAGAGAAGAAUCUUUUAAUUAAAUAUUACUCUUCAAUACAAGAUUAAACGAGAUCGGCAUCUUAAUUACUUCCACCCAAUUCUCAACACGGAUAAAUUAAUCGCACUUUGAAGAUACGUAUACCGUGGAAACUAGAAUUCAAGUAACCAGAAAGUAUACUACCACUGUGUCCGCUUAGUAGAACUCCACUUUCAGUAUUUAAUAAACUUUCAGUAUUUAAUACAAAACCGCAACAACGAAACAAACUCCACAAAAAGAGUGGUACUUACUAUAUUCGUAUAGAAACGUUAAAAUGGAGCUACGUGAGUCAGUGGUCCUUCUUUUAAAGUGUUCAACGUUGAGUUCUUAAGAGGUACUAUCUUCACCACACGUUAUACAUAAGAGGGUAAGUUCGCUGUAACAUCGAAUAAAUGUAUUUAAAGUGAGAACAGACGUAUAUCAGAAAUAAUACAGACGGAACGAUGAGACUUGACCUCACUACAAGAAAAUAACAAUAGAUACGUUUGCUUAUCUACUAUCAUGUAGUUCACAGAAUUAUAGACAUGACGCUGAUUAUAAACUUCAAAACGAAAACGGCUUUGAGAGUUUCCACAGCGUACGCUCGAAAUCUUUUGCGUAAGUCUAAAGUCUCAACUAGUUAGGUAACUUCACAUUCCACAACGUACGCUCGAAAUCUUUUACGUACGUCUAAAGUCUCAACUAGUUAGGUAACUUCACAUUGACGUCGACCUCACUGGUAUGUGUGUACGUUGUAACAUCAAAUUCUGGAGAUUUGUUAUCGGACCGUUCAAGAAUAGGACUACAGUCGAGGACACAGAACUCAUUCGCAGUCACCGUAGGGAUACGGGUUGUUGUUAGUAUGUUCGUAAUAAAACCGUUCAAAUCCAAUAAAGACCGUGUGUAAAUUAAAAACGUUCAACACUAAAAUAAAAACUGCACUUCACUAAAAAAGGUGUUAACCUUUCGUAGAGAUAAUGGAGCUAAUAUAAAAACAAGUAAAAUGACUAUAUAAAAGAGAGAACUAGUGUACUAUAAUACACGCAACGUGCACGUGCUAAUGAUAAACCCCAUCACACAUCCUAGAAGUGUCAAAGUUUGUACCGAUAAAGACCGUGGCGAUAGAGAACGCACUUACAGGAGGACCAAAGGUACAGCCACGGAUGUAGUUACAAGAUGGUACUACAAUGGUCAAAUUCGACGAUGAUACCAGUCAGUAUUUCGUAGUAAGAGAUCGAUGUUGUAGACAACUACAAACGGCGGUUUCGUUGUAAUUUAAUACUUGACUAUAAUUAUCGCUUCCAUACCAGUUUCUAAGAUAAGAACUACACUCCUUGGCUACUCCCGCCUACCGGCCUUUGAGACCUAACCUAGGUACAAAAGAAUGACCUCAAAAUUAGACUAGCGACCUAUUUGAUUCACGUAUGCACACAGAUAUACGUAAGAAAAGUUACCAUUAAAACUAUAAACAAAAAGGUUUGAUUCGAACAUAAAAAAUCUUUGCUAUUUCAAGAAGUAUUUAGGUAACUUUGUAAGAGGUCGUUUCGAGUACUCCUCGUAUACUCAAGGGAAAAUUAUGUCUCCGAGCUUGAAUAACAUAAGACUUAUGUAAAGGUAGAUAAGUAAAAGGGUACAUUUGUUCAUUGACCGCUAGUCUAGCCUAAGCUCCUGGUAGCAGAGAGUACACAAUGCAUAAUCACUACGGAUGUACUGUCACCUUUUACAUGCUUAUACGUCACAACUGUCAUUGUUCUAUGAAGAAGAGAACGUUGGUUUUCAUAACGAAGACUAAUGUCACUCCGCCGAACUACCUAGUAGCCGGAGUACCGUUUUAAUCUCUGUCUCCUCCCUCCUCCGAAGUAUCUUCGUGUUGAAGUUCUCGAGUCCUUCUAGUUUGGCUUCUUUCUGUUGUGAGUCGCGUUGUACGAGCACAGCUACUACGGCCACGUCUCCUUCUAACACCCUAACUAGUCACUCUCGUCCCUGCACGAAUGGUCGCUCGUGUUCUCGUAGACCACCUCGGUCAUCUAGGGGUCCCUCCUCAUCCGCCCGCAUGUAACAGGUCAAGAAGACAUUUUUUACAGUGAGAUGUGUUAUAUUAACAAAUCUUGUUGUGUGUACUAUAUGAGCUGAUUAGUAGGAAAUAUUUAGUUGUCCGACCAUACUCUACAAUUUUAAACAAGGAUAAACAGAUGGUAAUAAGUAGAAAAAAUCUUCACAAUUACAGUAACUAAAGAAUGAAUG
rnacentral:rRNA from 1 species